UUUCCGUAGGUGAACCUGCGGAAGGAUCAUUAUUGUAUAACCGAGGUGCGAGUUCUGUCCCUGACCCGAAAGGACGUGCACGCCCGAGUUACCUCACACACAUCCAUCUCACCCCUCUGUGCACCACAACGUUGAUCGCCCUUUGGCUUUUACGGAGGGGGGCUCACGUUUUAACACAAAUUUUGUAUGCAGUGUAGAAUGUAUCUUUUGUUUUUGCGAGCACGCAAGCAAUACAACUUUCAACAAUGGAUCUCUUGGCUCUC
rnacentral:misc_RNA from 1 species